rnacentral:rRNA from 1 species
UACGUAGGAUGCAAGCGUUGUCCGGAAUUAUUGGGCGUAAAGAGUUCGUAGGCGGUUGCCUAAGUCUGGUGUUAAAUACAGGAGCUCAACUCCUGCAUGGCACUGGAAACUGGGCGGCUAGAGUAUGGUAGAGGUCACGGGAAUUCCAGGUGUAGCGGUGAAAUGCGUAGAUAUCUGGAGGAACACCAGUGGCGAAAAGCGCGUGACUGGGGCCAUAAACUGACGCUGAGGAACGAAAAGCUAGGGGUAGCGAAAAGGGG